rnacentral:rRNA from 1 species
GAGUAACUAUGACUCUCUUAAGGUAGCCAAAUGCCUCGUCAUCGUAAUAUCGGUCGGGAUGAAUCGGGUUUUACACGGCUUUUAAUGCCAAAUACGCAGGUCGACGGCUUGCCGGACCCUCCCCUUGCCCACAUGCCCCCCGACGGGGGGGCGGGCUUGGGGGGACCGGGGAACGUCGACCCAGGGUCAAAUUUCCCAUGGACUGAGAGCGGGGUCUCCCCGUUCUCGACUCAUAAGGGAAGCCAAGCCCUCGGUUCGGCCCGCCCCGUCACACGGGUGGAUCGGCCGGGGGAAGGUCUGAGAGACUGAACGGCUCUAAGCGUAGGAUACAGUCCGCCAAAUACAAGUACCCGGGGUCGGUGAAGGGCGAGCGGGGUAACGGCCAGUAGCGCUGGGGGUAGCUCCCCCGGCCGGCCGGACCCCCCGUGGCCCGAUAUGCCUAGUACCGGGGAACGGGGGGUGGGGNNNNNNNNNNGCCGCCCACCGGAGGGUGUUAAUUUGUGACGCGCAUGAAUGGAUUAAUGAGAUUCCCACUGUCCCUACCUACUAUCUAGCGAAACCACAGCCAAGGGAACGGGCUUGGCACAAUUAGCGGGGAAAGAAGACCCUGUUGAGCUUGACUCUAGGCACAGACGCGAGGUGAUUCUAAAGGUGUAGCAUAGGUGGGAGGGCCCAGCCCGACCUUGAAAUACCACCACUUUCGACAUCGCUUUGCUAAUGCUGUAACGAACGAACGACCCCUCGGUGUCCCGCUCGAAAGGGCGGGCGCCGGGUAAGGUCACAUUCUAGCGCUUUCCCGACUCGUACGGUGGCCUGGCCCCUCCGGGUGAGUACCUCGUGACCACAAACUGGGCCUCCGGGUCUGGUGCGUGUCGUUCUCGGGGGAACCGGAGACGGUUGGGCUGCCCUCUGCGGGCUAAAAGGGUACGUAAGCCCGUGUAGCAAACCAUCUGUGUUGGGGAGUUUGGCUGGGGCGGAAAACUGCUACACGGCAACGGCAGUCUCCUAAGGUCCACUCAGAGACGACAGAAACGUCUCGUAGAGCAUAAAGGCAAAAGUGGGCUUAACUCGCAUUUUCAGUAGUAAUGUGAAGCAAGAAAUUGAGGCUUAACGAUCCUUAACGGCGGGUGCCAGCCCACGUUUGAGGUGAGAGAAAAGUUACCACAGGGAUUGUAAUUUGACAGUGGUACGGCGGGGGGGGGCGGCUAUGGACGGGGAGAACGGUGGCCGACGGGCUGCCCGAUCCCUGGCCGGUGCUGCCCCACGGGGGAGGGCGACGGGCCGGGGUACCGGUGGCCGACGGGCCGCCAUCCCUGACCGAUGCUCUGCCCCGAUGGUGUCGACGGGAGGGAUGACGGUGGCCGACGGGCUGCCUGAACCGCGACCGGCGUUCACCAGUGGGGGGUCGGGCUUGGGGGAGGCGGCGGCUCGCCGUUCCGUCUCCCCUGCCAUGGCUCGGUCCCCCCACGGGAGGUCCCAAUCAGUCCACGCCCGAGGCUAGCGCAGGUUUCCUCGGGCAGGGCGAUGCAUCUGGAUGCUGGAACGGCUUUCGGGUCCCUCGGGGCUCGGAACGGUGGAGGUACCAAGCUUACCCCAGUAACACUGGGGGGUUGACACUGGCGCAAGCCGGUGGGGUAAUAAUCCUCUUUCCGGGGCUUACCAGCAGGCAACAAGGCUACCCAGUCGGCGUGAUAGGGGCAAAAGAGUCCAUCUGGACCGGUCCCCGACGUUGCCGACGGGUCAAAACGGUAGCUGCGUGCUUCAUCGACUGGGAAGAUGUAGGUCUUCGUGGGGUACGGCUCGCGACCGCUCUUCCUCGCCCUCCCUCGUGGGGGGUGGGGGGAGCGGGCCGGGCUGUCCCCGAGAGGGCUCAACGUACAGUCACUCCGCCCGCCCAGUAGGGCAUCAGGGGGUGUUUCCAUUGCGGGGACGCCUCUCGGUGCCUGAACAGUGGGUCCUGUCUCGGCAACCCACCACUGCAGGGUCGAUUCAGGGCAGGCUUCGUCUCGGCCGAGGAUUCCCCGUCAAAAGGGAGUCCUGCAGGUCCGCAGUUCANGUCUGUGGUCGGUCUCCAAAUCCUAUGUGCAACCUCCCAUCCGACGCCUGAUGUUUUUAUAUCGGGAGGGGCCCGUAGGUCGGCGUACUCACCGUCCUCCGAUCUGGGAGGAUGCCCCGUGGCACGGGCGGCCGACCGGUAGGGGGCUCACUGCUGGCGGGAGAGGUGGGUACGGACGGAACUGGCUUGUGGCCGCCAAGCGUUCAUAGCGACGUGGC